rnacentral:rRNA from 1 species
CGUACGAUGAAGCCGCUUCGGUGGUGGAUUAGUGGCGAACGGGUGAGUAACACGUGGGCAAUCUGCCCUGCACUCUGGGACAAGCCCUGGAAACGGGGUCUAAUACCGGAUAUGAUCACCGGCCGCAUGGUCUGGUGGUGGAAAGCUCCGGCGGUGCAGGAUGAGCCCGCGGCCUAUCAGCUUGUUGGUGGGGUGAUGGCCUACCAAGGCGACGACGGGUAGCCGGCCUGAGAGGGCGACCGGCCACACUGGGACUGAGACACGGCCCAGACUCCUACGGGAGGCAGCAGUGGGGAAUAUUGCACAAUGGGCGCAAGCCUGAUGCAGCGACGCCGCGUGAGGGAUGACGGCCUUCGGGUUGUAAACCUCUUUCAGCAGGGAAGAAGCGCAAGUGACGGUACCUGCAGAAGAAGCACCGGCUAACUACGUGCCAGCAGCCGCGGUAAUACGUAGGGUGCGAGCGUUGUCCGGAAUUAUUGGGCGUAAAGAGCUCGUAGGCGGCCUGUCACGUCGGAUGUGAAAGCCCGGGGCUUAACCCCGGGUCUGCAUUCGAUACGGGCAGGCUAGAGUUCGGUAGGGGAGAUCGGAAUUCCUGGUGUAGCGGUGAAAUGCGCAGAUAUCAGGAGGAACACCGGUGUCAAAGUCGUAUCUCUGGACCAAUACAUACCCUGAUAAUCC